rnacentral:rRNA from 1 species
UACGAGGGGGGCGAGCGUUGUUCGGAAUUAUUGGGCGUAAAGGGUGCGUAGGCGGUUUGGUAAGUCUUGUGUGAAAUCUACAGGCUCAACUUGUAGUCUGCACGAGAAACUGCCGGGCUUGAGUGUGGGAGAGGUGAGUGGAAUUCCUGGUGUAGCGGUGAAAUGCGUAGAUAUCAGGAGGAACACCUGUGGCGAAAGCGGCUCACUGGACCACAACUGACGCUGAUGCACGAAAGCUAGGGGAG